rnacentral:rRNA from 1 species
UACGUAGGGACCAAGCGUUGUUCGGAUUUACUGGGCGUAAAGGGCGCGUAGGCGGCAAUUCAAGUCAGCUGUGAAAUCUCCGAGCUUAACUCGGAACGGUCAGCUGAUACUGUUUUGCUAGAGUACAGAAGGGGCAAUCGGAAUUCUUGGUGUAGCGGUGGAAUGCGUAGAUAUCAAGAGGAACACCUGAGGUGAAGACGGGUUGCUGGGCUGAUACUGACGCUGAGGCGCGAAAGCUAGGGUAGCAAACGGG